rnacentral:other from 1 species
UACUCCCUGCUUUGCUCGUGAUGUAUCUUUUUAAACCCACAUUAAUCAUAUGGGACUCCGCCUUCCGUUGCAGAUGGCAGGCCUCCCGGCGCGUAUUUGCGCCGGAUGUUGGAAGCAAUGACGCACCGGAGAGGAGACCCACCUGUAACUACGGGCAGGUUAUUAAAUUGAUGCACACGGCAUAAGCGGGGGUGU